GACGUAGGGCGCGAGCGUUGUCCGGAUUUAUUGGGCGUAAAGAGCUCGUAGGCGGCUUGUCGCGUCGUUCGUGAAAACUCACAGCUCAACUGUGAGCUUGCGGUCGAUACGGGCAGGCUAGAGUUCGGCAGGGGAGACUGGAAUUCCUGGUGUAGCGGUGAAAUGCGCAGAUAUCAGGAGGAACACCGGUGGCGAAGGCGGGUCUCUGGGCCGAUACUGACGCUGAGGAGCGAAAGCGUGGGGAGCGAACAGG
rnacentral:rRNA from 1 species